UACGAAGGGGGCUAGCGUUGCUCGGAAUCACUGGGCGUAAAGCGCACGUAGGCGGACUUUUAAGUCAGGGGUGAAAUCCUGGAGCUCAACUCCAGAACUGCCUUUGAUACUGGAAGUCUUGAGUCCGGAAGAGGUAAGUGGAACUGCGAGUGUAGAGGUGAAAUUCGUAGAUAUUCGCAAGAACACCAGUGGCGAAGGCGGCUUACUGGUCCGGUACUGGCGCUGAGGUGCGAAAGCGUGGGGAGCAAACAGG
rnacentral:rRNA from 1 species